GCCUUCACCACUUUGAUUUCUCCGACUACUCCUCCUCCCUGAAAUCCGUCCUCGCCACUGCCAGCGACAUCGGCAAGCUUUUCGGCUGGUCCUCCGGCCUCGCCCUCAUAAUUUUUUGCAAGAUGAUGAUAAUCAAUUGGAGAUUACACGAGCUAGAUUUGGAAGUUUGAUUAAAAGACAUGGAGAUUUGACAGAGCGUCUUGCUAGGGAUUCUGACAAGAUAAUAUUUGAGCGUCUACAGAAAGAGUUUGAAGCUGCACGAGCUUCUCAAACUGAAGGUAGCUUUGACUUUGGUCUGUAUGGAUGAAUUCUUUAAUAAAUUAAUAGUGAACCGUACA